UACGAAGGGGGCUAGCGUUGUUCGGAAUUACUGGGCGUAAAGCGCGCGCAGGCGGUCCUUCAAGUCAGAGGUGAAAGCUCAGAGCUCAACUCUGGAAUGGCCUUUGAGACUAGAGGACUUGGGUACGGGAGAGGUGAGUGGAAUUCCGAGUGUAGAGGUGAAAUUCGUAGAUAUUCGGAAGAACACCAGUGGCGAAGGCGGCUCACUGGCCCGUUACCGACGCUCAGGCGCGACAGCGUGGGGAGCAAACAGG
rnacentral:rRNA from 1 species